rnacentral:rRNA from 1 species
GGCGAGUGGCGACGGGUGAGUAAUACAUCGGAACGUGCCCAAUCGUGGGGGAUAACGCAGCGAAAGCUGUGCUAAUACCGCAUACGAUCUACGGAUGAAAGCAGGGGAUCGCAAGACCUUGCGCGAAUGGAGCGGCCGAUGGCAGAUUAGGUAGUUGGUGAGGUAAAGGCUCACCAAGCCUUCGAUCUGUAGCUGGUCUGAGAGGACGACCAGCCACACUGGGACUGAGACACGGCCCAGACUCCUACGGGAGGCAGCAGUGGGGAAUUUUGGACAAUGGGCGCAAGCCUGAUCCAGCCAUGCCGCGUGCAGGAUGAAGGCCUUCGGGUUGUAAACUGCUUUUGUACGGAACGAAACGGCUCUUUCUAAUAAAGAGGGCUAAUGACGGUACCGUAAGAAUAAGCACCGGCUAACUACGUGCCAGCAGCCGCGGUAAUACGUAGGGUGCAAGCGUUAAUCGGAAUUACUGGGCGUAAAGCGUGCGCAGGCGGUGAUGUAAGACAGUUGUGAAAUCCCCGGGCUCAACCUGGGAACUGCAUCUGUGACUGCAUCGCUGGAGUACGGCAGAGGGGGAUGGAAUUCCGCGUGUAGCAGUGAAAUGCGUAGAUAUGCGGAGGAACACCGAUGGCGAAGGCAAUCCCCUGGGCCUG